rnacentral:lncRNA from 1 species
CCAAAUAACAAUUAUAAGAAUAAAAAGCACCAACAAGUCAAUGUAAGAAUUUGAAAUAUUAGUUGUUUAAUUAAUGAAGGAGGAAAAGAAAAAAGAAAAACCGGUAGAUAAGUAAUGAGAUCCUCGCUCGUAGGAUCACGUAGUAUCCAUCAUUCCAUGUUCAUGUUAACGCGGGAGUCUUGCUCAUUCAUUUAAUUCUUUAAUAAUAAGUAAUAACAGAGAAGAGCCAUACCAUACCGAAUCCCUCUGGUAUUGAGAAUUCCUGGUCCGUCGGUAAGCUUUAUACACGGUAAUAAUUGAUAAUUAUCCUGUAAUCUCUGGCUGGGGAGAGACGGUUUCUAGGAUCUUCAUUGAGUGGAAGUACAUACUCUUCCAGCCUUGGUGGAAUAGGUCUGUUUGUAUUUCGAAGAUGUUGCUACAAGCCAAUCCGAAGGGCAGAGUUCUUGGACGUACUUUUUACGGAUGGUACAAUCCACAAUGGGAGCCACUUUUGAGGAAAAAAACAAAAAACAAAUGGAAUGAGGUCUCGAUCCAUUUUCUUUACAAACAGAGCACAUUCUAGACUCAACCAUUUGUUUCGACUUAUUUGUAAAUAAAGAAGAAGUGGGCAAUCGGUAUCUUAACCAUUUUUGAUGGAAUCUGUUAGGUCUAGUCUCUCCAAUGUUCUUUUCACGAUAAGAGACGACACUCUGUUGUUAUCACCGUUUAUUAAAGAUCUUAUUCCAUUAUUAGAGAGUGCUUCCACGACAAUGAAGAAGGGUGUUUUAAUGUUUUUUUGGAACGGUAGCAUAAGACUAAGGAUUAACACACUUCAAAAAUAGUUAAUUUAAGCUGUCUCGAUUGCUCUUUGCCGUUUUAACGGUCCUACAUAAGGUAAUGGUGUCUUUCAAAUUGAGCGGAGUUUUUUUGUAAAACGUUUCGGCAAAAUCUUCAUCCUUGACUCCAAAGGAAUUUUGAGGGUGUAAAAUUUUGACAUGGUGUCUUGAUGAGGAAUUCAGAUGGUUUAACUUAACUUAAUUAUCCCACGUCUCAAUCCAUUUCAAGAACUCUGAAUAUUUGAUGCCGUCUUCGAUUUGGUAUGAGAAUUUGGCUUUGAUAUUUGGGCAACUCCUAAAUUUGAUAGAGCAUCUAUCAAAUCUUCUGAAGAUCUCUCCAAAUAAACAUCUACUUGAGCUUCAAUUCCGAUAAACUCUUUUUCCAUCUGAAUUCACUCCUCUACUUCCUUCAUGUACUCAUUUGGAUGUUUCAUCCAAAAAAGUUGAAUACUUCCUACGUUUUUUUCAUUAUAAAUUUCAUCUGCUUUCUUUACAGCUUCAAGUGUCCAACUGACUUUAAAUGGACAUUAAUUAUCUUCUCGAAGUAAUUUUCUUAAAUUUUCAGAUUGUGUGUUGAAAGAUCUUCACUGGGCACCUCGGGAUUUCAUCACAGUGGCUAACUCGACGGUUUUCUCUUCGUCUGGCAUACUCUCGCGUCUCUUAAGGUCUAUGGCGGGAUCGAUUUCUUCCCCUAGGAGUCUUUGGUACCUAUGCUGUCAAGGAGCUAGGUCUUUUCUUUUAAAACCACUAACUGUGCCAUAUAAUUAUAUUCAAUAUAUUAUAAAUGAAUAUUAAUGACAUCUUCUUAUCAUGGAGUAUAUUCAACUGUACAUUCUACAUAUAUAAUAAAGUUUUCUUCGCCAAGAAUCUAUCUUGAUAUCAUAAAGGAACACCAUUCCAAAUAACAACAGAAGUUGAUCUUUAUUAGCCAAUCAAUCAUGCCAAGUCAAUCUGAGAAGACUGUUAGUUUCUUUACCAAGUUACCUUCUCUCUGGAGAAUGUUUUUUAAGAUGCCCAUCAAAUUGAUUCUCACACAAAGCUCACCUAAGACUUUUGAAUUUGGAUAUUGAUUUAUCAACCCGUCAAGGUCAACGUUCAAGUCUCCCAUCAAUACAAAGAGAAAUGGGUCUUUCUUUUGAAUAUUGAUGAUAGAUUGGAACACAAGAGUAGAUAGUUCAUUUGGUCCAUAUCAAGGUUGAUAGAAAUACAAGGUUAUA